CACUUUUCCUGUCGGUGAAACCCUUUGCCCUUCCUCUUCUUCGUUUCUGUUUCACGAUCUGAUCCACAAUCAAGCAAUACAUCCUCCACUUCGUUUUUCCUUUUACUCAUCAUCGAUCAGAAAGAUUAAAAAUAUUCGUUUCUUACAUCUUAGUCCCAUCCUCAUCGUCCUCUUCGUCGCCUUUAAAAUAUCAGUUCUAUGUGUGAUUUAUUUUUAGUGUUCUCUAUCUUUAUGUACAUUGAGUAUAUAUAAACCUUCAGAUUGUCCUCUCCUGUACCUUUAUUUUUUGCCGUUUGAAAAUCUCUGAAACUCUCACAUAGUGUCAAAUUCACAGAUCACUUCUCCGACUUGAAGGCCGGUCCGUGUUAAGACUAGACUCCGGAGGUCAGUUGAUGUCCGUCAAUAUGAUCCUUCUUGAUGCCAAGAAGUGAAAGUUGGUUCUUAACUCCAUGAGCAACAGAGCAAGUGAGUUAGCUAGGAGGCAGCUCCAGUCCAUGUCUGCACUUCUGAAGGUCAUUAUUUUUGAGCCUACUUAAACAUAUUAUAUUCUUACAUUAGGUUGUUAGUGUCACAUGAUAGGCCGAGAAAUCUUGGGCCUAUUGACAUUGGCGAUUGAGAUUUUGAUAGAUUGUUAUAGAUUUGGUAAUAACGGUGAAGUAUUCAUCUUCUGGAUGGAACUAUUUUUCUUUUUAUGAGAUACAAAAAAAGAUUAACGAGUGUGUAUGGAUAUAAUAAUCAACCCGUGAACAAAAUUCCGAGCUAAGUAUUAGGACAGUGGUGAAGACAUUGACAUUGUCGUCUCCAGCUCCCAAAGAAACGAAGAGAAUUUGGAUGAAACAAUGUUGUACUAAAGAAUAAACCUGAGCAGGGUGGGAAUAACAAUCAGGAAAUGAUAUGUCAGGUGCUGGAGUAGUCAGAAGGAGCCACAUUACGAGAACAAAACAAUCACAUAACACUCCUACACAAACUUUCAAUUACUUAGUAGCUAUGCAGUUAAAUUUUAUUUUUGUUCGGUUUAUUUGUAAGUUCUUAAAAUCCUCUGUUAUACUAUUCCGAGUUUCCGACCA